rnacentral:lncRNA from 1 species
ACUAUCGAAAGCAUAAAGUAGUUGGUACUUUCGAUUUUUUAGCCUUUGAAUCCAAAAUUCUACAGUUGGAAUGAUAACGGUCUCCUUAGGGUUGAGUGGUCUCCCUAAGGUUGAGUGGUCCUCAUCGGUUAAUAAUAUUAAUCUAAUGAUUAAAAAUGAUCAAUAGGUUUGAUCUAAGGACUAAAAAAUUAGAAGUAUCAAUUACUUUAUGCUUCCGAUAGCAUAAUAGCUAUACUCUCUCUCUCUCUCUCUCUCUCUAUAUAUAUAUAUAGAAUUAUGCUACUAUACUAUCAAUAAUACCAAACCCUUGUAUACUAUUGAGUUUUCGACCGUUGGAUGAAAGAAUGUGCGGUUCGGAUGAUAGUGGUCCCCGGUUAAAUUGAUAGUGGUCUCCUAGGGUUGAGUCAGUGGUUGGUUUAAUAGUAUAAUCUAACGGGUGAAAAUAAUCAAAGAGUAGAUCUAACGGUAGAAAACUCAAUAGUACUAAGGGCUUGAUACUAUCGAUAGUAUAGUAGCCAGACUCUAUAUAUAUAUAUAUAUAUAUAUAUAUA